rnacentral:rRNA from 1 species
UACGAAGGGGGCUAGCGUUGUUCGGAAUCACUGGGCGUAAAGCGCACGUAGGCGGAUUGUUAAGUCGGGGGUGAAAUCCUGAGGCUCAACCUCAGAACUGCCUUCGAUACUGGCAAUCUCGAGUCCGGAAGAGGUUGGGUGGAACAGCUAGUGUAGAGGUGAAAUUCGUAGAUAUUAGCUAGAACACCAGUGGCGAAGGCGGCCAACUGGUCCGGUACUGACGCUGAGGUGCGAAAGCGUGGGGAGCAAACAAGGAUUAAGA